GGUUAAGCGACUAAGCGUACACGGUGGAUGCCUAGGCAAUCAGAGGCGAUGAAGGACGUGCUAAUCUGCGAUAAGCGUCGGUAAGGUGAUAUGAACCGUUAUAACCGACGAUUUC
rnacentral:rRNA from 1 species